GAUGAAGAACGUAGCGAAAUGCGAUACGUAAUGUGAAUUGCAGAAUCCAGUGAAUCAUCGAAUCUUUGAACGCACAUUGCGCCCGCCAGUAUUCUGGCGGGCAUGCCUGUUCGAGCGUCAUUUCAACCAUCAAGCCCCCGGCUUGUGUUGGGGACCUGCGGCUGCCGCAGGCCCUGAAAACCAGUGGCGGGCUCGCUAGUCACUCCGAGCGUAGUAAUACAUCUCGCUCAGGGCGUGCUGCGGGUUCCGGCCGUUAAAAAGCCUUAUUUACCCAAGGUUGACCUCGGAUCAGGUAGGAAGACCCGCUGAACUUAAGCAUAUCAAUAAGCGGAGGA
rnacentral:misc_RNA from 1 species